rnacentral:rRNA from 1 species
AAGUCAUAACAAGGUUUCCGUAGGUGAACCUGCGGAAGGAUCAUUAGUGAUUUGGCCGAGAGGCCUUUAAUCCAAUCCUCACACCUGUGAACUCGUCGGUGGGACUCUGUGCCCGCCGGACAUUUACAAUACUAUGUGUAAUGAACGUGAUGUAUAACAAAACAUAAACAAAACUUUCAACAACGGAUCUCUUGGCUCUCGCAUCGAUGAAGAACGCAGCGAAAUGCGAUAAGUAAUGUGAAUUGCAGAAUUCAGUGAAUCAUCGAAUCUUUGAACGCACCUUGCGCCUCUUGGUAUUCCGAGAGGCAUGCCUGUUUGAGUGUCAUGAAAUAUCAAUCCCCAUGGGUUUCUUGGACCCGUGGUGGACUUGGACUUGGGCGUUUGCCUCUCAAGGCUCGCCUCAAAGGAAUCUGUGGGAACUUCUCGACCUACGCCUGACGUGAUAAGUUUCGUCUUGGCCGGUCUUGAGGCCCGCUCAUAACACCCCAUAUCUUUUUGACAUUGACCUCAAAUCAGGUAGGGCUACCCGCUGAACUUAA